ensembl:snRNA U2 U2 spliceosomal RNA
AUUGCUUCUGCUCUGAUCAUGUGUAGUAUCUGUUCUUAUCGGUUUAAUAUUUGAUACGCCCCCUAUCCGUGGACUACAUGUUAAAUUGAUUUUUGGAUCACGGAGCUGGAGCCGGGGCUUGCUUCAUAAAAAAAAAAAAAAAAAAGUGUUGUGUUCCU